rnacentral:rRNA from 1 species
AGAGUUUGAUCAUGGCUCAGAACGAACGCUGGCGGCAGGCUUAACACAUGCAAGUCGAACGCACCGCAAGGUGAGUGGCAGACGGGUGAGUAACGCGUGGGAACGUGCCCUUCAGUUCGGGAUAACCCAGGGAAACUUGGGCUAAUACCGGAUACGUGCGAGAGCAGAAAGAUUCAUCGCUGAAGGAUCGGCCCGCGUCUGAUUAGCUAGUUGGUAGGGUAAUGGCCUACCAAGGCGACGAUCAGUAGCUGGUCUGAGAGGAUGAUCAGCCACAUUGGGACUGAGACACGGCCCAAACUCCUACGGGAGGCAGCAGUGGGGAAUAUUGGACAAUGGGCGCAAGCCUGAUCCAGCCAUGCCGCGUGAGUGAUGAAGGCCUUAGGGUUGUAAAGCUCUUUCGUCCGGGACGAUAAUGACGGUACCGGAAGAAGAAGCCCCGGCUAACUUCGUGCCAGCAGCCGCGGUAAUACGAAGGGGGCUAGCGUUGUUCGGAAUCACUGGGCGUAAAGGGAGCGUAGGCGGAACGACAAGUCAGAGGUGAAAGCCCGGGGCUCAACCUCGGAAUUGCCUUUGAGACUGUCGAUCUAGAGUUUGGGAGAGGUGUGUGGAACUCCGAGUGUAGAGGUGAAAUUCGUAGAUAUUCGGAAGAACACCAGUGGCGAAGGCGACACACUGGCCCAAUACUGACGCUGAGGCGCGAAAGCGUGGGGAGCAAACAGGAUUAGAUACCCCGGUAGUCC